AUUUUAAUGUUGGUUGUAUCAACGCGAUUUCAUUGAAGAUACAAAUAGCUUGCUGAAUUUUUAUAACUCGAGGUUAUUUUUCAAAUCCACCUGGAUCAUUCGGUGUCUUCGCUUGCUUUGGGGAUAAUUUAGAGAAAUCUAUUAGAAGCACGUCAAGAAC
rnacentral:lncRNA from 1 species